AUUGAACGCUGGCGGAAUGCUUUACACAUGCAAGUCGAACGGCAGCACGGACUUCGGUCUGGUGGCGAGUGGCGAACGGGUGAGUAAUGUAUCGGAACGUGCCCAGUCGUGGGGGAUAACGUAGUGAAAAUUACGCUAAUACCGCAUACGAGCUAUGGAUGAAAGCGGGGGAUCGCAAGACCUCGCGCGAUUGGAGCGGGCGAUAUCAGAUUCGGUAGUUGGUGGGGUAAAGGCCCACCAAGCCAACGAUCUGUAGCUGGUCUGAGAGGACGACCAGCCACACUGGAACUGAGACACGGUCCAGACUCCUACGGGAGGCAGCAGUGGGGAAUUUUGGACAAUGGGCGAAAGCCUGAUCCAGCCAUUCCGCGUGCAGGAUGAAGGCCCUCGGGUUGUAAACUGCUUUUGUACAGAACGAAAAGGUUUCUACUAAUACUAGGAGCUCAUGACGGUACUGUAAGAAUAAGCACCGGCUAACUACGUGCCAGCAGCCGCCGCCG
rnacentral:rRNA from 1 species